AGAGAGCUAGUCUAAAAGCAAGACAGUUGAUUUCGACUCAACAGACCAUAGUCCACUCUAUGACUCUCUU
rnacentral:tRNA from 1 species